GACGUAGGAGGCGAGCGUUGUCCGGAUUCAUUGGGCGUAAAGAGCGCGCAGGCGGCUUGGAAGUCGGAUGUGAAAUCCCGAGGCUCAACCUCGGGUCUGCAUCCGAUACUGCCCGGCUAGAGGUAGGUAGGGGAGAUCGGAACUCCUGGUGUAGCGGUGAAAUGCGUAGAUAUCAGGAGGAACACCAAUGGCGAAGGCAGCACUCUGGGACGUGACUGACGCUGAGACGCGAAAGCGUGGGGAGCAAACAGG
rnacentral:rRNA from 1 species